UACGUAGGGUGCGAGCGUUAAUCGGAAUUACUGGGCGUAAAGCGUGCGCAGGCGGCUUCGCAAGUCAGGCGUGAAAUCCCCGGGCUUAACCUGGGAAUGGCGUCUGAAACUACGGAGCUGGAGUGUGGCGGAGGGAGGUAGAAUUCCACGUGUAGCGGUGAAAUGCGUAGAUAUGUGGAGGAAUACCGAUGGCGAAGGCAGCCUCCUGGGCCAACACUGACGCUCAUGCACGAAAGCGUGGGGAGCAAACAGG
rnacentral:rRNA from 1 species